rnacentral:rRNA from 1 species
UACAGAGGGGGCGAGCGUUGUUCGGAAUUACUGGGCGUAAAGGGCGCGUAGGCGGCCCGCUAAGUCGAACGUGAAAUCCCCAGGCUCAACCUGGGAACUGCGUCCGAUACUGGCAGGCUUGAAUCCGGGAGAGGGAUGUGGAAUUCCAGGUGUAGCGGUGAAAUGCGUAGAUAUCUGGAGGAACACCAAUGGCGAAGGCAGCUCGCUGGGACGGUACUGACGCUGAGACGCGAAAGCGUGGGGAGCAAACAGG